UUAGAAGUUACUCAAGACUUGAGCAAAGAAUGGAUAACAACUAAGUUGGGGCUGUGAAAUUCUCAAAGACCUUUAGAGAAAAGUCAGAAAUCAUUUUGACUGGGACUUCUGUGCUUUUGCCAGACCUCCAGCCCUCUUGGAACUUAAGCUGACAUGAAAUAGUCGUUGCAAUGCUU